UACGUAGGGUGCGAGCGUUAAUCGGAAUUACUGGGCGUAAAGCGUGCGCAGGCGGUUUUGUAAGCCAGAUGUGAAAUCCCCGGGCUCAACCUGGGAAUGGCAUUUGGGACUGCAAGGCUUGAGUGCGGCAGAGGAGACUGGAAUUCCUGGUGUAGCAGUGAAAUGCGUAGAUAUCGGGAGGAACACCAGUGGCGAAGGCGACUACCUGGCCUGUUUCUUGACGCUGAGGCGCGAAAGCUAGGGGAGCAAACGGG
rnacentral:rRNA from 1 species